CAGUGUAUGCAUGUUGGGGUUACCUUUAUCUUUUCUAUAAGUUGUGCCAAAACAUCUACUUAAAUUCAUUUAUUUUAAGGAAUUGUAGAAAUCCAAGACCUU